UCGAGAAUUUUUCACAAUGGGGGAAACCCUGAUGGAGCGACGCCGCGUGGGGGAUGACUGGCUUCGGCCCGUAAACCCCUGUCAUUUGUGAACAAACCUAUCCACCUAAUACGUGGAGAGUUGAUAGUAACGGAAGAGGAAGGGACGGCUAACUCUGUGCCAGCAGCCGCGGUAAUACAGAGGUCCCAAGCGUUGUUCGGAUUCACUGGGCGUAAAGGGUGCGUAGGUGGCCAGGUAAGUUUGAUGUGAAAUCUCGGAGCUUAACUCCGAAACUGCAUUGAAUACUAUCUGGCUGGAGGGUCGGAGGGGGGACUGGAAUUCUCGGUGUAGCAGUGAAAUGCGUAGAUAUCGAGAGGAACACCAGUGGCGAAGGCGAGUCCCUGGACGACUCCUGACACUGAGGCACGAAAGCUAGGGGAGCAAACAGGAUUAGAUACCCCCGUAGUCC
rnacentral:rRNA from 1 species